rnacentral:lncRNA from 1 species
UGUCUAUUGGAGCUGGUCAGUAUGUUUAGGACCGAGUUUUUAAAUCAGUGGAAUUUGAGUAUGAUAGCUAAGGAGAUGGAGAAAACACCAGUCUGGAUUACAUCGUCAAACUAAGGCAACCAUGCAUGGCAUCAGACAGGAGACGCGUCCAACCAUGAUGUAUACUGGCAGGGCGGCCCAGUUCCUUAGCCCUGGGGGUCUGGACCCAGUACAGUUCUACAGGACAGGAGAGGAGAGGCUGCUUGGAUCUUUGUGUCCGACGGACCCACAUCCCACCAGGACCCAAGACCCAAGCCCAGAGACCCCCUCUCUCCCUCUCUCCCAUUAUAUCCAGGCCUCUUCCAGCGUCAUGCAUGUGACAGAAUGCAGUAGCCUACAUACGAAGCAUCGGUGAGUACUGGCGUUCCAGUUGGUGGUGACUUUGGCUCGGGUCCCUGCCAAUGGAACCGGGGGUGCCUAGCCAGCUCAUCGGGUUUCCACGCCCUAGCUGUCUCGAGAGGUAUCCUUGCCCCGGUUGGCUUAGAUGGCGCCCAUCCCACGUCGGGCCUCAGCCG